UCAGGGGUCGUCCAACGGCAGGACACCAGACUUUGGAUCUGGGAAUGGAGGUUCAAAUCCUCCCCCCUGAGCCA
rnacentral:tRNA from 1 species